GGCCCCGUAGUUCAAUGGACAGAACGACCGCCUCCUAAGCGGUAGAUGCAGGUUCGAUUCCUGCCGGGGCUGCCA
rnacentral:tRNA from 1 species